rnacentral:lncRNA from 1 species
GGUUUCCUAGCAAAUUACAAUGGUUCUAUAAAUGGUAGAGUGUGGAUUUUAUGGGACACAAAGUUGCUCACAGUCACUGGUAUCCAGGAGGAGGCUCAAUUGAUACACUGUAAAGUCAGAAGCAAUAUUGGGGAUGUCACUUGCUAUCUAACUGUGGUAUAUGGAUAUAAUGGGGUGGACCAGAGAAUAUCUCUAUGGAAAAAUCUGGGGGAUUACUCAGUU